rnacentral:tmRNA from 1 species
AGUCUUUCGUUUUUGCCCCACCGACCCUAUAUAAUAGGGCGUCGGGUUUACUCGACUAUGGCGAUAAACGUUUUGCGCAAUAAACGUUCGGACCCGGGGGCAGUACCCGGCGCCUCCACCAUUAUUCCUCGGUAUUUCAUGGCUUACGCCAUGACCGGAAUGGGGGCGAAAUAGGAUCGACGGGCGCGUAAAGGCUGAACUUUUGCCCGGUAUGGUACCACCGACAUCGGGCCAUAUUCAUAGGUGCCAACGACAAUGUUGAAACCUUCGCUGUUGCCGCUUAAUUAAGCGAUAAUAAGCGCGGUUCGGGGGGCACCGGGCAACAGAAGCCCCCCACU